UACAGAGGGUGCAAGCGUUGUCCGGAAUCAUUGGGCGUAAAGCGCGUGUAGGCGGCCCGAUAAGUCCGCUGUGAAAGUCCAGGGCUCAACCCUGGGAUGCCGGUGGAUACUGUCGGGCUCGAGUCCGGAAGAGGCGAGUGGAAUUCCUGGUGUAGCGGUGAAAUGCGCAGAUAUCAGGAGGAACACCAAUGGCGAAGGCAGCUCGCUGGGACGUGACUGACGCUGAGACGCGAAAGCGUGGGGAGCAAACAGG
rnacentral:rRNA from 1 species